UCAGGUGGACAGUGACACCAUUUGGAAUGAGCUCCACUCGUCCAGCACUGCACGCAUGGCCGUUGGCUGUGUCAUCGAACUGGCUUCCAAAGUAGCCUCCUGAGAGCUGAAGAAUGGAUUUGCUGCCCCCGGGUCAUCGUGCUGAAGAAUCAGCAGCCAUGGGAAUCUGCUUUUUUAAUUCUGUUGCAAUUACUGUCAAGUACUUAAGGCAAGCACUAAAUAUGAGCAAGAUAUUAAUCGUGGACUGG